rnacentral:rRNA from 1 species
CCUGGCAGUCGUAGCGCGGUGGUCCCACCUGACCCCAUGCCGAACUCAGAAGUGAAACGCCGUAGCGCCGAUGGUAGUGUGGGGUCUCCCCAUGCGAGAGUAGGGAACUGCCAGGC